CUAUGUCUCUGCCUCUCUCUCUUUCUCUCUCUGUGACUAUCAUAAAUAAAUAAAAAUUAAAAAAAAAUAAACCUCUGAGCCAACCAUGGAUCCCACAAUUCACCAAUUUAAAGUGGUUUUUAGUGCAUUCACACAUUCAGUGUUUCCUAAUAUAUUCACAGAGCUGUAGCAUCAUCACAGAGUUGUACCAUCAUCAGUGUACACAGAUGAUUAAUUAUAAGUUGUACACCUGAAACUCAUAUAAUGUUAUAUAUCAAAUUUGCCUCAAUAAAAAAAAAUUGGAAGAUGCUCCAAAAGUGAACUUAUUAGUGGCAAGAAAAUAUGUGAGAUAUAAUGAGAGAAAGUUUAAAUAGUAAUGGAAUGAUACAUAAACAAGGAGAAAAAAAUAUGAGAACAAAAAAAGUUGGAGAGGAUCAUGGACAGAAAAAACAAAUGAUGCUAAAAUGAGUUUGAACCAGGGACAUAUUCGAUCUGCCUUCAUUAAACAAACACAUCUGGAUUUUGUAACAAAAAGAUCAAGGUAAGAUAUUUGGGCAUGAUAAGAACAAAAGAAACUCUUGAUUUGAUGGUACUGCAAAUAUUUGGAUAAACCAGAAUCUAUAUAAAUCUGCAGGCAGCUGGAUAUGAAUUCCAUCUAUGGAAGACACAGAUAAAAAGGGUUUAGAGAAAUGCAUUCACUUUGUAGUUGCUAGAAAUCUCUACUGUCCUAGGAAAGUUGACAGCGAGAUACUAAUUCCCAAGCAAUGAAUACUUAACUAACUGAACAUCAAUAAUGCCCUGAUUUGGUUAAGAGUAUCUGAGAAUAUAAGGAGAGCUGGAUAGAGGGAAAAGGGUUCCUGACAGUCCUGACAAACGUAAUCAGCACAAACCACGCAGGAAUAUUCUUUUUGGCUCAAAGUUUUGUAUAUGUUUUUAUAAAUCAUUAUACAGCACAGCUCAAAAGUUGUGCAGCUGGGAGUUGUCUUUGGCACCAGUAGGAGCAAACUUUACUGCUUAUCUUAUAAAAUCUAUUAGUUUGGCUACUAUUAACUCUUGUUUCCUUAAUUAGGGCUGUGCCGUGACUGCAGCAAUUACUCUAGUUCAACGUGAGUAAAAUAAUGGAAAUGUACACAAGAUAGCUAUGCCCAUGGAAAAUCCGUUCUUAUAAAUGGGUAAAUGUCAGAUUAAAAAUAAAAGUCACCAGUUUUUGAACUUGGAAAUUGCAAAGCAAGGCUGGGGCAAUAAUUUAUAACAAUUAAAAAUUUGAGAUCAGACUAUUAUCUGAUGGGAUGGAUCAUCUUUAAAAGAAUUUUAGUGGUGAUAGUUUUUAUAAUCUGUUGACUAUUCAAAAUCACUCAUCUUAUGGCUAAUGGUUGAUGUAAUUAAUCUGAUUCCAAAUCAAGCAAUAAGGAAUCCUUGAGAAU
rnacentral:lncRNA from 1 species